CGCGACUCGGACUUGUCCUGACACUCUCCAGAGCUGUCGACAAGCCUCCACAGUCAAACACCAGGGAUCUCACAUUUAAAUUUCAAAAAUAUAAAAUAACAAAUUUAAAAUUUGAAAACUAAAAAUAUCAAAUUUAAAAUUUAAAAUUUAAAAAUAUCAAAUUUAGAAUUUAAACUUUAAUAAAAUUUAAAAUUUGAAAACUUAAAAAAUCAAAUUUAAAAUUUAAAAUUUAAAAUAUUAAAUUUAAAAUUUAAACUUUUAUAAAAUUUAAAUUUUAAUUUAUUAAUUAUAAAUAUUAAAUUAUAAAUU
rnacentral:lncRNA from 1 species